UUUCAUUCAACAGCUUUCCAAGCUGGAGUGAGUAGCUUGGCAAAAUAUGAUUGGAAAUCCAAAAGCAUUAUUUUCAAUGGAUGAAGUGGAACUGUAAGUACUGCAAAUUUGACACAUCAAAUCAACUCAUCCUUAUUAGACAUUACAAAUUGAAGCAUGGACAUGAUGCAAGAUACAUUGAUGGAUACAUUGCCAUGUAUCCAUCAAGACUGUCAGUGCACCUUUAAAACAGAAAUAGCACUCAAGAAGCAUUUGACUCAACACUGAAGAAAUGUUCAUGAAACAGUUACUGUUUGUAUAAAAUGUGACCUCUGUAAUUUUUCUGAGCCCUGUUGCUGGUGGUGAUUGAGGCAGACCAACAGUGGAUGAAGUACAGGAGUUCUGUGGUAGCUGGAAGGCCACCAGUCAUUUCACCCCUCCUGGCCCUGCUGUUUGCUUUGACGAGUCCCAGUCUGGAGUGCAACGCCCCUAGCCAUUUCCAACUGAGGCAGAGUGCUCCAAGUUGUUUCUGACAGAGGAGCUGGUGGGAAACAUGGUAGAGGAGACCAAUCGCUGUGUCUUGGAGCUACAGGAGAAGAGAGAGCCAGGAGUGAGGGGGAAACUCGCUAAAUGGGUGACAACUACAAUUGGUGAAAUGUAUACCUUCUUGGUGACAGUCCUUCUCAUGGGGAUAGUAAAGAACUCCCUAAGAGAAUACUGGAGCACAGAUCCUAUGUUUGCAACUCCCUUCUUUGCCAACCUCUUUUCCCAAGACCGCUUCAUAGUUCUGCUGCGAUGCCUGCAUUUCAUCAACAAUGCUACUGCCAUCCUAAGUGACCCGUUAUACAAAAUAAGAAAUGUUCUUAUCAGCCUGACAUCAGCAUUUGGUCGGGUCUUUGUGCCAUACAAGGACCUAUGCAUUGAUGAGUCCCUGAUGUUAUGGAAAGGUAGGCUGGCGUUCUGUCAAUAUAUUCCCUCCAAAAGGCAAAGUUUUGGAGUCAAGUUCUUUGUCAUGUGUGACGUGAAGACAGGAUUUGUCCAGGAUAUUAUAGUUUACACAGGGUCCACCACUGACAUCAAACAUUAUGAGGGGCUUGGGGUGUCAGGGUCCGUGGUGAUGACCAUGCUGGCUCCUCAUCUCAGCAAGGGACACACUUUGUACGUGGACAAUUGGUACAGCAGUCCCACACUCUUGGAAUGCACUCGGAAAAGUACCAAGUGGUAUACGAAGAUAUUUUUCCAUCUGAUCGACACUGCUGUCCUCAACGGCAGUAUAGUUCACCGCCAACUAACAGGUAAAGUAAUUACCUACCAAAAAUACAGAGAACCUCAUGAGAGAGCUGCUGGAGGAGUACACGGAGGCAUUGCAAAGUCUGCCUGUCUGGCGCCAGGAGAAGUAAGCGGAGGAAGAUGACAAAAUACAUGUGUUUAGCUUGUGAUACACCUCUUAUGUAUUUCACCAUGCUUUGAGGAAUAUCACAUGCUCAAGCAUUAUUGAGCACAUCUGCAGCAAUAAGUGACUGACUGACCUGACAGGUGACUUGACAGGUGACCAGCCAUGAUACUAUGCCUUUAGAGAUGGGGGUGGAAAUGCAGUUGUUGUUCAGUCACUGCAUGGAUAUUAAAUAUGGGUUAUGCAUAUUCUGUUUUUUGUCCUCUAGUAAAACAAGUUGUUGAACCAACUACCAAUACUGCAAUAAAAUAGAUGACUAUUA